GGACGGGUGAGUAAUACGUAGGAAUCUGUCCUGGAGAGGGGGAUAACCCGAGGAAACUCGGGCUAAUACCGCAUGACAUUGAGAAAUCAAAAGCAGGGGACCUGAAAGGGCCUUGCGCUCUGGGUUGAGCCUACGUCGGAUUAGCUAGUUGGUGGGGUAAAGGCCUACCAAGGCAACGAUCCGUAGUUGGUCUGAGAGGACGAUCAGCCACACUGGGACUGAGACACGGCCCAGACUCC
rnacentral:rRNA from 1 species